GACGGACGCUGGCGGCGUGCUUAACACAUGCAAGUCGAACGGAAAGGCCCUGCUUUUGUGGGGUGCUCGAGUGGCGAACGGGUGAGUAACACGUGAGUAACCUGCCCUUGACUUUGGGAUAACUUCAGGAAACUGGGGCUAAUACCGGAUAGGAGCUCCUGCUGCAUGGUGGGGGUUGGAAAGUUUCGGCGGUUGGGGAUGGACUCGCGGCUUAUCAGCUUGUUGGUGGGGUAGUGGCUUACCAAGGCUUUGACGGGUAGCCGGCCUGAGAGGGUGACCGGCCACAUUGAGACUGAGAUACGGCCCAGACUCCUACGGGAGGCAGCAGUGGGGAAUAUUGCACAAUGGGCGGAAGCCUGAUGCAGCAACGCCGCGUGCGGGAUGACGGCCUUCGGGUUGUAAACCGCUUUCGCCUGUGACGAAGCGUGAGUGACGGUAAUGGGUAAAGAAGCACCGGCUAACUACGUG
rnacentral:rRNA from 1 species